rnacentral:tRNA from 1 species
AUUUAAAUAGUUUAUUAAAAAUAUUGAUUUGUGGGAUCAAAGAAGUAAGAUAUUAUUUUAAAUA